rnacentral:rRNA from 1 species
CAACUUUCAGCAACGGAUUCUGCUCUCCCAUCGAUGAAGAACCGCAGCGAAAUGCGAUAAGUAAUGUGAAUUGCAGAAUUCAGUGAAUCAUCGAAUCUUUGAACGCACCUUGCGCCCUCUGGUAUUCCGGAGGGCAUGCCUGUUUGAGUGUCAUU